rnacentral:sRNA from 1 species
UCAAAAAACGGGGACGCUUAUUUGUAC